GAUCAUUGGCUCAGGACGAACGCUGGCGGCGUGCUUAACACAUGCAAGUCGAACGAGAAUCUGUGGAUAGAGGAUUCGUCCAAGUGAAGCAGAGGACAGUGGCGGACGGGUGAGUAACGCGUGAGGAACCUGCCUUUCAGAGGGGGACAACAGUUGGAAACGACUGCUAAUACCGCAUGAUACAUUUGGGUGGCAUCAUCUGAAUGUCAAAGAUUUAUCGCUGAAAGA
rnacentral:rRNA from 1 species